AGCCAAUUAGGUGAACCGCGAAAGGCUCAUUAAAUCAGUUAUGGUUCCUUAGAUCGUACACACAAUUACUUGGAUAACUGUGGUAAUUCUAGAGCUAAUACAUGCAAACAGAACUCCGACCGGAGACGGAAGGAGUGCUUUUAUUAGAUCAAAACCAAUCGGUGGCGGGUUCGCUCGUCAUCGUACAACUUGGUGACUCUGAAUAACUUUAUGCUGAUCGCACGGUCUCGCACCGGCGACGCAUCUUUCAAAUGUCUGCCUUAUCAACUGUCGAUGGUAGGUUCUGCGCCUACCAUGGUUGUAACGGGUAACGGGGAAUCAGGGUUCGAUUCCGGAGAGGGAGCCUGAGAAACGGCUACCACAUCCAAGGAAGGCAGCAGGCGCGCAAAUUACCCACUCCCGGCACGGGGAGGUAGUGACGAAAAAUAACGAUACGGGACUCAUCCGAGGCCCCGUAAUCGGAAUGAGUACACUCUAAACCCUUUAACGAGGAUCAAUUGGAGGGCAAGUCUGGUGCCAGCAGCCGCGGUAAUUCCAGCUCCAAUAGCGUAUAUUAAAGUUGUUGCGGUUAAAAAGCUCGUAGUCGAAUCUGUGUCCCGCGCCGCUGGUUCAUCGUCCGCGGUGUUAACUGGCGUGUCGCGGGACGUCCUGCCGGUGGGCUUAGCUCGCAAGGGCGGCCCAACUCAAUCCUGCCGCGGUGCUCUUCACUGAGUGUCGAGGUGGGCCGGCACGUUUACUUUGAACAAAUUAGAGUGCUUAAAGCAGGCUAAAACUUCGCCUGAAUACUGUGUGCAUGGAAUAAUGGAAUAGGACCUCGGUUCUAUUUUGUUGGUUUUCGGAACCCCGAGGUAAUGAUUAAUAGGAACGGAUGGGGGCAUUCGUAUUGCGACGUUAGAGGUGAAAUUCUUGGAUCGUCGCAAGACGGACAGAAGCGAAAGCAUUUGCCAAAAACGCUUUCAUUGAUCAAGAACGAAAGUUAGAGGUUCGAAGGCGAUCAGAUACCGCCCUAGUUCUAACCAUAAACGAUGCCAGCUAGCGAUCCGUCGACGUUCCUCCGAUGACUCGACGGGCAGCUUCCGGGAAACCAAAGCUUUUGGGUUCCGGGGGAAGUAUGGUUGCAAAGCUGAAACUUAAAGGAAUUGACGGAAGGGCACCACCAGGAGUGGAGCCUGCGGCUUAAUUUGACUCAACACGGGAAACCUCACCAGGCCCGGACACCGGAAGGAUUGACAGAUUGAGAGCUCUUUCUUGAUUCGGUGGGUGGUGGUGCAUGGCCGUUCUUAGUUGGUGGAGCGAUUUGUCUGGUUAAUUCCGAUAACGAACGAGACUCUAGCCUGCUAACUAGGCGUAUUUUGACAUCGCAAAGGCCCGCCGGUAUUGGGGUUCGCUCCUUUAUCGCGCGCGGUUUUUACUGUCGGCGUACAAACAAUUCUUCUUAGAGGGACAGGCGGCUUCUAGCCGCACGAGAUUGAGCAAUAACAGGUCUGUGAUGCCCUUAGAUGUUCUGGGCCGCACGCGCGCUACACUGAAGGAAUCAGCGUGUCCUCCCUGGCCGAGCGGCCCGGGUAACCCGCUGAACCUCCUUCGUGCUAGGGAUUGGGGCUUGCAAUUCUUCCCCAUGAACGAGGAAUUCCCAGUAAGCGCGAGUCAUAAGCUCGCGU
rnacentral:rRNA from 1 species